UACAGAGGUCUCAAGCGUUGUUCGGAUUCAUUGGGCGUAAAGGGUGCGUAGGUGGCGAGGUUAGUCAGGUGUGAAAUCUCGGGGCUCAACCCCGAAACUGCACUUGAUACUGCCUUGCUAGAGUACUGGAGAGGAGAUUGGAAUUUACGGUGUAGCAGUGAAAUGCGCAGAUAUUAGGAAGAACACCGGUGGCGAAGGCGGCUCUCUGGAACGGUACUGACGCUGAGACGCGAAAGCGUGGGGAGCGAACAGG
rnacentral:rRNA from 1 species